rnacentral:rRNA from 1 species
UACGUAGGGGGCAAGCGUUGUCCGGAAUCAUUGGGCGUAAAGCGCGUGUAGGCGGCCCGGUAAGUCCGCUGUGAAAGUCCAGGGCUCAACCCUGGAAUGCCGGUGGAUACUGUCGGGCUCGAGUCCGGAAGAGGCGAGUGGAAUUCCUGGUGUAGCGGUGAAAUGCGUAGAUAUCAGGAGGAAUACCGGUGGCGAAGGCGGCCUUCUGGACGAUGACUGACGCUGAGACGCGAAAGCCAGGGGAGCAAAACGGG